CACGUAGGGCGCAAGCGUUGUCCGGAAUUAUUGGGCGUAAAGAGCUCGUAGGCGGUCUGUUGCGUCCGCUGUGAAAACUCGGGGCUUAACCCCGAGCCUGCAGUGGAUACGGGCAGACUAGAGGUAGGUAGGGGAGAAUGGAAUUCCCGGUGUAGCGGUGAAAUGCGCAGAUAUCGGGAGGAACACCAAUUGCGAAGGCAGCUCGCUGGGACGUUACUGACGCUGAGACGCGAAAGCGUGGGGAGCAAACAGG
rnacentral:rRNA from 1 species